AUAAAUGCAUAGAAGAGAAGAGUAGUAUAAUUGAUUGCUAAAGAGAGCUGGAGAUGGUGGAAACCAGUGCAUUGAAAUUAUAUGAAGAUGGCCUCGGAGCAGAUCAUCUGAAAAUUUAAGUAAGAUGAUACGGGUGCAACCGUUAUAUUGCAAAGUGAAGAUAUUCACUUAAUGAGAAAUUUAUUGUGAAAUAAGUUUAAAAUAGAGUGGUAACGCGUAUAUAACGUCUCUAUA
rnacentral:ncRNA from 1 species